UACGUAGGGUGCAAGCGUUGUCCGGAAUUAUUGGGCGUAAAGAGCUCGUAGGCGGUUUGUCGCGUCUGCUGUGAAAACUCGGGGCUUAACCCCGGGCCUGCAGUGGGUACGGGCAGACUAGAGUGCGGUAGGGGGAGACUGGAAUUCCUGGUGUAGCGGUGAAAUGCGCAGAUAUCAGGAGGAACACCGGUGGCGAAGGCGGGUCUCUGGACAGUUCCUGACACUGAGACACGAAGGCCAGGGGAGCAAACGGG
rnacentral:rRNA from 1 species